rnacentral:rRNA from 2 species
UGGGGAAUAUUGCGCAAUGGGCGAAAGCCUGACGCAGCAACGCCGCGUGAGGGAUGAAGGCCUUCGGGUUGUAAACCUCUUUUAGCAGGGAAGAAGCGAAAGUGACGGUACCUGCAGAAAAAGCACCGGCUAACUACGUG